rnacentral:misc_RNA from 1 species
UCGAGCUGUGUGGGAACGACUCACCGGAGUUUCAGAUGUUGGGGGGCAUGAACGCGAGCGUGAAGUAUCGAGAUUUCGCGGCGUAGUUUUUCCAUCGGUUCAGAGUAACAGCCAUCAGCAACGAUGUAAACCAACUUUAUACACUAUGCAGCUACAGCAUCGUCGUCGUCGUCGUCGUCGACGGGAUAGGAGAGGAUAGGAUAGAAUGGGACGAUGCCCGGGUGGAUGGGACAGGAAUCGAGGAGUGAAAAUAUUCGAUGAUUUCUUUCAUCGCCGAGAUGGAGAUGCGAGAUUCUGGUGGUGCUGGUGGGACUGGGAUAUCGUCGCGGGA